rnacentral:sRNA from 1 species
GCUGGGCAUGGUGGCCCACGCCUGUAAUCCCAGUGGCUCAGGAGACUGAGGCAAGAGGAUUGUGAGUUCAAAGCCAGCCUCAGCAACUUAGUGAGACCCUAAGCAACUUAUUGAGACCUUGUCUCAA